GCUGCUUCGUGGGCAUUCCACAGGAGAGCCCCAGGAGUCCGGCUGGGGCUGUACCGUGCCGCCUCCUGCAGCGGAGCACCCCAGCCAGCUCUUACCGGAGCAGUGCUCCGGGUGCACCGUUUUACUUCCACCUCUGUGUACAGGUUGCAAAAUGAUUGAAGGCAAGAGACAGCAGGUGGAUACAGACUGACGUGGGAGUACAAGGAAACAAGGGGAGAGUCUCGGCAUGGUUGUCAGUGGGAUCAGCACAGCAGCCGAGCCAUUAUCAAGUUUGCGGCAGGCUCUCACUGCACAGGAGUUUUACGGAGCCAUUUUGGAGGAGGAUCACGAGUUGCUUUGUGGAUGUGUACGGGGAACUUUUCCCAAGCCUGAGGAGUAGCAUGGAAAAUCACAAAAGGGCUUGUUAUAAGCAAUAAUGUCAUCGCCAUCCACGUGUGGGUAGAAUACGUUGCCAUGACUUAGUCCUAGGCCUUCAGAAAACAAGCAGCCCUGAGUUCCCAGCCAAACAUCAGCUAUGAAGAUUCUUUACCUUCUUUUUGCUGUCCUUUUCUUGGUCCUGCAAAGUACCCAAGGAUUUUCCUUGACUUUUGGCAACAGCUUCCGAUGCCUACAAAGUAGGGGUAAAUGUUACUCUUGGCGAUGUCCCCCAAAUAAUUACAUAAUUGGACGCUGCUGUUUUUGGCGGCCUUGCUGUAGGAGGUAUUAGAAGGAGGAGAUGGCAUCUCUGGUCACUGCAGGAUCUGUGAGACACUGGGAGGUGACAUCUUCCUUCUAAAAUCAUCGGAACUGUUCGUUGGGCUCCCGAGAAUCUCCUGGGCUGCAGAAAUUGCACAAAGAACCCCAGUAUCAUCCAUGAUGAUUUGUUAUUUUGCUUUCAAUAAAAGUGGUUGUGGCGGUGUGUUGCUA